GCGUCAGCGCGUCAUCAACCUGCGCGGCGGCCGCUCCUGCAGCCGCGGCCGCCGCCACUGCCGGGAGAGCUCGAUGGGCUUCUCCUGCGCGCCGCCCGGUGUCUGGCCGAGUCCAGAGAGCCGCGGUGCCUCGUUCCGAGGAGCCAUCGCCGAAGCCCGAGGCCGGGUCCCGGGUUGGGGACUGCAGGGGAAGGCAGCGGCGGCGGCGGCGGGAGCCCCACGGGGGUCUGGGACUGGGGAACUGCCUCCGGCUUCACGAUGCCAGUAUGGACAGAAUAGCUUAUGAUGCUUAUCCCCACCCACCACUUCCGAAACAUUGAGCGGAAACCAGAAUACCUCCAGCCAGAGAAGUGUGUCCCACCCCCCUACCCUGGUCCUGUGGGAACCAUGUGGUUUAUCCGUGACGGCUGUGGCAUCGCCUGUGCCAUCGUUACCUGGUUUCUGGUCCUCUAUGCGGAGUUUGUGGUCCUCUUUGUCAUGCUGAUUCCAUCUCGAGACUACGUGUAUAGCAUCAUCAACGGAAUUGUGUUCAACCUGCUGGCCUUCUUGGCCCUGGCCUCCCACUGCCGGGCCAUGCUGACGGACCCCGUGAGAACCUGCACGGAAAUGGCCUUCACUUUGCUUGGGCGAGGUGCAUCUUUUCCUGAAAAGCUGGACAAGCCUGUUUCAGGCCGCAGCAAGUGCCUCUUGGGGGCAGUGCCCAAAGGAAAUGCCACUAAAGAAUUCAUCGAGAGUUUACAGUUGAAGCCUGGGCAGGUGGUGUACAAGUGCCCCAAAUGCUGCAGCAUCAAGCCCGACCGAGCCCACCACUGCAGUGUUUGUAAGCGGUGCAUUCGGAAGAUGGACCACCACUGUCCCUGGGUCAACAACUGUGUAGGCGAGAACAACCAGAAGUACUUCGUCCUGUUUACAAUGUACAUAGCUCUCAUUUCCUUGCACGCCCUCAUCAUGGUGGGAUUCCACUUCCUGCAUUGCUUUGAAGAAGAUUGGACAACCUAUGGACUGAACAGGGAAGAAAUGGCAGAGACUGGAAUCUCUCUUCAUGAAAAAAUGCAGCCCCUUAACGUCAGUUCGACAGAGUGCAGCUCCUUCUCUCCACCCACCACAGUGAUUCUCCUCAUCCUGCUGUGCUUUGAGGGCCUGCUCUUCCUCAUUUUCACAUCAGUGAUGUUUGGGACCCAGGUGCACUCCAUCUGCACAGAUGAGACGAAUUUAUUCAAAAGUCAAGAAUCUUAAAUCUCUGAGAUGGCGUGGGAAGAAAAAGUGCUAGAUACACAGAGAUCUUUCUUGAGUCAUGUGAAGGAGCAGUGCCCAAGCCCGGCAAACCCACAGCAAAUUCCCUUGGCUUCCAGAAGAGAUGGAGAAAGCAGUGCCCCCAGUGGAGGGUCAAAGGCCUCUGUGCAGGGUGUUGUGGGCCUGGAGAGCUGGCCUGGCCACAUCUUUACCUCCUCUGGGCAUCUCCCCACCCCAACACCCUUUCUGUGGCCUGGCGGCUGAGUUGCAGCCGACACCCAGAGGCAGGGCAUCGAGCGCCUCAAACGAAAGAACCAGCCCAGGGAGCACACGGGGAGCUGGCAGUCAGUAAAGGAGACCUUUGGUGGGGACUUCUCCCUGAACUGGUUCAACCCCUUCUCCAGACCGUGUCAGCCAGAGAUCCCCAGUGACAAAGACAUGGUGCGGCAGGUGACAUCACUGUCAGACACCGAAACAAUGGAGGAUCCAUCAGAGGAGACAAAGGACGAGGACUCUGUGGAGGUGACAGAUGAAUAGAUGCUGCUGUGGGGAGAGAAGCAAACACUAAAAAGUGCUGUCAACCUUCAUCCUGGGGUUUUGGCUAAAGGGGCUUAUGGGCAUGGUGCGCUCCCAGCACCCCCAGUGCUUCCCUUAGCCACUCGCUUGGCCUUGCCAUUUCCCCUCCUUCCUCUCUCCAUGUUGGGCCAGGUCUGGGGGUCGGGAGUAGGCUGGGGACAUCAGAGGAGGAUGGGGGCUUUCUCAGAGUUCAUCUAAGAAGAGUCUGCACUGAGACAGCUCAUCAAGAACCGUUCUCCAAGACUGGGUGGCUUUCACAUUCUCCGCCCAGCAAAGGGAGCUUUUGAACAGGGCAUCCCAGGGGCAGAAAAGAGCUUGCCUUUGGCUUUCCCCGGGAUUUCUAUCUUCUCUUGGGAAGGCUGGGCCCCUGGCUCCUGGCUUUGAGAAGUAAGGUUGUGACAGAAGGACCGGGCAGGGCUUGCCUUGGGGACCUGGGUUGGGACACUGACAUCAGGGGAGACUAGCCUGGAAAGACUGCAGAGCUGCCAGCUACUCCCUGGAAAGGGCUUCCCCAUGCUGCCUGCCGAAAUUAGGAGGUAGAGGUGGCUGCCACAUCUACCUGCAAGGGCCAGGCAUGGUUCAAAGAGGACCCUGCAUUAAGCUCUACACACACAUGUGCAGGACAUGUCCAGGAUGGACAGAGCCAGAGUUAAGACAGUAGCACCAAAAAUGAGCCCCCAUUCCACAGACACUGGAGUCUUCACUGAGCGAGACAGCUGGGAGCUGUCCUGCCUGUGGCUACAUAUCUAGCCAUUCACAGAUGUGGAUAUGGGAAGGACCUCUUUGGAGCUACUGGGGACUCUCUAACCACUCGCAUGAGAACUUAAUUGAAUGUUACCUCUUGGAGGGAGUCUAAUAACACAUGUAGGUAGAACUGACCAUAAACCCUGCCUGUGUGUUUGAAAAGGCCAGUUCUCCCAAAUUGGUGCCCAUCUUGUCUCUGAAAAGAUGGGUGAUGGCCAGGGUCUGCUGAUUGAUGAAUCAGAUGAAUCAGGAAGAUAGACACACACACACACACACACACACCCUACCAGGAUGAGUCUGCCCUCUAUUCACCCCAUUUGAAGCCUGUGGUGUCUGUGACCACUGCUGAAGGUCUGAGCAGCGUUCUGGUGCUCCUAAACCCCAUUCCAGUGGUUGCUGAAGCAGCAUCUUCUGCACAAAGCCCAACAGAAGGGUUCUUAUCCCCGUUUGGUAUAAGAAGUGGAUUCACCACCCACUCCCUCCACGUGCCUUUGUUCCUCUCUUUGGCCCAUUUCCCCAGCGUCUACUGGCGUCAGGAUUGGCAGGAGCACAGGCACUCAGCAGAGCAUGCCCCUGCAAGACCUCAGUGUUAAGGCCCCCCUUCCAGCUCCAGGCAAAAGGGCAUGAGUCCUGGCCCCAAGGGGCCUGUGGCUGCAGUUCAGAGGAGAAGAAGGUCAGUGUUUGGAGGUGCAGCCUCAGGAUGCUGAGAAAGGAAACUGGCGACCAUGAGAAAGAAAAGAGCCAAGCAGCAUCCUGGUUCUUGGACAGCAUCUUUGGACACUCUGUGAAGGGCAACAAUCCUGCCAGAGACCGUCUCUCUACAACUGAUGACCCACUAGGGCCUGGGGUUAAUUGCUCAAAGGGCCCAGUGUUCACAAAGCCACCUCUGCCCUAACCCUUGCCAGAGCUCUCCAACUAUGACCCACGAGAGGGGUGAUGGUGGGAUUCUAACAUCAGAGCAACCAGAAAGACAUUGGGCCUCCCACACUCAGGCUGCAGGCCCACUUUCUUGGUCCUUAUCAGCUUUAAUAUUUAUUAAUGACGACAUAGGAGCCCGAGUCAGCUGUAAAGGCCAUUAACUUGCAAUCUGGACAGGAAGUUGACGCUCACCACUUUGGGUAAGAGCUGCUCUGACUGUAGGGCCCCCUAUUUGUUGUCCUAACCCAGAAGCAGCUCUGGGCUGCCAGGAUGGUGGAUGGAAUACCAGAGAGUUCACACUAGGGAGGAAGCAAUGCCUGCCCCCUGGAGUCUCCUAGGGGGCAGCAGUUAGAAUAAGGGAAGAGGAUUUGCUGGUCACUGUUUGCUGACAUGGGUUUCUAUGGUGAGUUCAGGCCUGAGGACAGCGGUGUCUGCAAAACCACAUGGCCCUUGAGAAAUGUCCUUGCACAUUGGGCUUCAAACUCCUCUUCUAGGGAUCCAUCUUGGCCUGAAAGCAGAGGUACAACACCAGCCCCAAAGGCAAUUCUGUUUUCAGAUUGGUUGCUCUGGAAAGGAAGGCUGGGGUGAGGGGGCAUUUUACUUGCACAGAGGCUGACCCUGCCUCCCCUCUUCACUGACCCCAUCUCCAAGGUAGACCUCAGCCAUGUCAGUCCCUGUUCUGGGAGGUGCUGGGCUGGGCCACAGCCAGGGUUAUGUAGGUAAUUAACCUGUCCAACCCUGAGCCUCGCCUCCCCACACCAGCGACACAGUGGUCUCUCUGUGGUGACCAUUCACAGCGUAACAUUCUGCUUAGCCUCAAACUGAAAGCAUUGCAACUGAUGUCAAAACCAGAUGAGAUCUUACAGGGAGAGAGAUUGGGUGCAAUUUGCCUCUUUCUUUGAAUAAAAAGCUCUUUGCUCACCCUCA